rnacentral:rRNA from 1 species
GAUGAACGCUGGCGGCGUGCCUAAUACAUGCAAGUCGAGCGAACAGACGAGGAGCUUGCUCCUCUGACGUUAGCGGCGGACGGGUGAGUAACACGUGGAUAACCUACCUAUAAGACUGGGAUAACUUCGGGAAACCGGAGCUAAUACCGGAUAAUAUAUUGAACCGCAUGGUUCAAUAGUGAAAGACGGUUUUGCUGUCACUUAUAGAUGGAUCCGCGCCGCAUUAGCUAGUUGGUAAGGUAACGGCUUACCAAGGCAACGAUGCGUAGCCGACCUGAGAGGGUGAUCGGCCACACUGGAACUGAGACACGGUCCAGACUCCUACGGGAGGCAGCAGUAGGGAAUCUUCCGCAAAGGGCGAAAGCUUGACGGAGCAACGCCGCGUGAGUGAUGAAGGUCUUCGGAUCGUAAAACUCUGUUAUUAGGGAAGAACAAAUGUGUAAGCAACUAUGCACGUCUUGACGGUACCUAAUCAGAAAGCCACGGCUAACUACGUG